rnacentral:lncRNA from 1 species
GAGGGCGGCAGGCGCGCAGGCGCCCCGGGACCAUGCUGCCGUGGGUCCAGCUUUCCUGGGCUCGGUUGCGUCUCUCCCUGUUCUCCCGCGGUUCCUUCCGCUCCGUGGCCGUGCGUGGGCCACCCACCGGGAUCUCCCCCUCCUUUACUCCCCGUCCUCCCCGCUUUCUCUUAGGGUCCGAACCUAGGCCCCAGGCGCGCCGUGCAUGGGCCCUGCUACUCGCCCCACUGGCCAUUUCUUACUUUUACUGUGUAGAAACCAAGCUUGCCCAGACAGACCUGCAGAUCUCUGAGUUCAAGGCCAGCCUGGUCCACAGCCACAGUUCCAGGACGGCCAGGGCUACACAGAGAAACCCCGUCUUGAAGCCACCCCCCUCCCAAGGAAAAGAACCCCAAACAACAACAAACCAAAAAAAGGUCCCUUCCCUCCAUUCUCUGCUAAACUCAAGUCUGUGGUCCUGAAAGUGCCUCACAGUUGUGUCUGCUUGGACUUUUUAGAAGACCCACUAUUCUCGUCUUUCCGGUCCACUCCAGAUUCUAUGGAGCCUACAUUCAACAGCAGCCGUGGGAGGGAGCAAUUCUUCAUCCUAACUCAGUCUCCAGGAGUAUGGUUGUCAAGAGAAGGCAAGAACGGUGCUGCAGAGAGCCAGUGACAGCCCCACCCUGAAGCUGGCUGGAAGGAGUCAGGAGUACCACACCCUCAAGGCCCAGCCUUCAAACCCCGCCCCCCCCCCCCCGUCCCGUCCCAUCUCCUAAAGUCCCACAGCCCCCCCCAACACACACACCCUAAACUGCAGGGUGGGGACACAGUGCUCAGAAUGAGCCUGUAGGGGAGCAUUCCAGAUUCAAACCACUGCACAAACAAAAAAAUAAUAAAAGACGAAAUUAAUGAAAAUGAAUACAAAUGCAGUCAGUGAAUUCAGAGAACGGGUGUGCUGAGAAAUGCCGGUGUCCUGGAGGUUCCGGUGGAACGAGACCUCACCGGAGCACAAGAGAGAUACGGAGGACAAACCCUGGCACCUAACACCGAAAGGAGAGUGGCUUUAGAAAAAGGAGAAAGGGGAAAUAUGUAUAAAGGGAAAACAAGAGUUGAACAAUUAAUUAAAGAGCAUUUUCUGAGCCUCAGAAAGACUUGAUUAAAGGGGCUGAUAAAGUUCCAGGAAGGAUUAAUUAAAGAAAGGCAUAUACUUAGACAGACCCUGGUGUAAUUCCAGAAUUAUAAACUCCCAGACAA